UAGUGUAUAGUAGAUAUAUCAUUUAGCUGAAUAUAGGCAGCCUAAGGUUUUGAGACCUUGCUUGUUGCAUUAUAUUCCUGUUAAAUGAUAAAAAAUUUUUUAAGCACGGCUUUGUGCGGAAAGUAUUAGGAGGAAAUCGAAAUAUGCAACAAAAUGGUAAAGUAAAAUGGUUUAACAAUGAAAAAGGUUAUGGUUUUAUUGAAGUUGAAGGCGGAGACGAUGUUUUUGUCCACUUCACUGCAAUUCAAGGCGAAGGUUUCAAAACCUUAGAAGAAGGUCAAGCGGUAUCUUUUGAAAUUGUCCAAGGAAAUCGUGGACCACAAGCAGCGAACGUUGUAAAAUUAUAAUCGAUGAUCAUUUGAUCUUCAAAUAUAAAAAGAGGCUUUUGCCUCUUUUUAUUUU
rnacentral:sRNA from 1 species